AAUAAAACGGCCGUGGCCAGGGCAGACGCAGCUGCUGUUCCGGGCGAGGGGCGCAGAAGGGACCCCGAGCCUUGCGCCGCGGCGCGCGCCGGGCGAGAUGGCAGCACGCCCUGGGCCUCUCUGCACUGUCCUGAAGGUGGACAGUAGAGAAACAAGAAAAUGGACUCCCUUUUCCUGGAGACCUGACUGAAUGCCAGCCACCGGUGCCAGAGGUUGUAGCCUCUUGGAGGAAAGCAACAUCAAGGUAAGAAAGCAGUAAGACCACGUCUAGUUUGGGACUUCCCAACUUAAAGGCCUUGAAAAGUAUUCAAGGAAGUCCAUGAUGCCAAACGUGUUGGCAGCUGGACAAGGUAAAAGCCCACGGGACUUGUGCUGACUUCCUGGGCAGAGUGUGAGCUCUGGGAAUGGGGAGCAGCUCAGCAUUGUCAGACAUGGCUGUGAGGUCUUCAGACCCAGUGCCUUAGUCUGUUUUCUUUUGCUACAACAGAAUACCUGAGACUGAAUAGUUUAUAAUGAAAAGAAGUUUAUUUAAGCUCAUGGUUCUGGAGGCUGGAAAAUCCAAAUUCCUGUAUCUUUCAGGGUUUUGUGCUGUGUCAUAACAUGGAAGGGAGCAAACACAGGAAAGAGAAAAGAGGAGAAAAUGGAGCUCACCUCUUAAAGGCCCCACCUCCCAACAUCUCACAGUGGCAAUCAGAUUUCAGCAGAGUUUCACAGGAGGAAAAACACAUUCAAGCUACAACACCCAGAAAAGCAGUGCUUCUCUUGGAAAAACUGCUGACUAGGGGUCCACAGGAUGGUCUCCCUGCUCUGCCUUCCAAAAGAUCUCCAAUGCUUUCUCCAAUCCUUCUGCAUAGUCCUCUGAAGUCAAAAAAGGCUGUGGCAGAAUGUCCAAGGCUUUCUUUUUUCCUUAGCAAGGACAGCUUACUUCUAGAUGGAGAGGAAUUUAUUAGGAUCCUUCAUAGGAUUCCUCUGACUUUGUGUUGAAUGUCAGUUCAAAUUGUAACAAGUAAAACUGUUCAGUGAACAGUAGAUGUAAGGGAAUGGACGUGGUCGACAGGUACCACUGAGGUGAUUGGAAAAGGGACAACUUUUAAAACUGUACCUAGCCUUGGACUAAACAGUUCAAAUUUACAUAAUUUAUCCUGCUAAAAUAAUCACAGUUGUGCAAAGAUGUAUGAACAAAGAUAUUUAUAACUGCAUUGUUUGUAAAGGUAACAUCUAAAAGCCCAAUAGAAAAAAUGGUUAUUCAAAAUUUACACAUCUAUAUGAGGGUAUGUCAUGCAGCAGAAUGAUGUAGGUGCAUUUAUUGAGAAAGAUGCUGAAUAUAUUGGUUUUGAACAAAGAAAAAGAAAAAUAGAAACAUAAAACAUGCAAGGAAAGUAGCCUUAGGCUCAGCCUACAUUGUUGAAAACAACCAACCUCUUAACCAACCUGGGAACUGGGGCAAGAGCAUGAUCUCCUUAAGACUCAGUCUCCCACCUGUAAAAUGGGUCUAGCACAUGUUGUAAAAUUGGGAGGGCUUGGUGAGAUUAACACCUCCAAAAGCUGCAACACAGUCCUGCUGUGAUGAGUGCUUAGCAGCUGGAUUCUUGGAUGGGAUGUGAACCUAGAGGAUUUCUAUCUGUGUAGAAACCUGGAAAUGGUGCUUUGUUUUGUUGUUUUGGGGUUAGUGGAAUCAUGAAUGAUUUUCAAUAUUUUCUUACUUUCUACUAGGAAUACAUACUACUUGUAUAAUGAUGGUAUUCUUU